rnacentral:rRNA from 1 species
AAAGGAAUUGACGGGGACCCGCACAAGCAGCGGAGCAUGUGGUUUAAUUCGAAGCAACGCGAAGAACCUUACCAGGGCUUGACAUGCCACUGACCGGUGUAGAGAUACACCUUUACCUUCGGGUACAGUGGACACAGGUGGUGCAUGGUUGUCGUCAGCUCGUGUCGUGAGAUGUUGGGUUAAGUCCCGUAACGAGCGCAACCCUUGCCUUUAGUUGCUAACAUUAAGUUGAGAACUCUAGAGGGACUGCCGAUGACAAAUCGGAGGAAGGUGGGGAUGACGUCAAAUCAUCAUGCCCUUUAUGCCCUGGGCUACACACGUGCUACAAUGGUCGGUACAACGAGGAGCUACACAGCGAUGUGAUGCGAAUCUCUGAAAGCCGAUCCCAGUUCGGAUUGUAGGCUGCAACUCGCCUACAUGAAGUCGGAGUUGCUAGUAAUCGCGGAUCAGAACGCCGCGGUGAAUGCGUUCCCGGGUCUUGUACACACCGCCCGU